AUAUAUUGAUAAAGAUAUAUAUCUAUUGUCGCUGCUUUUAUUUUGAAUCAUACAGUAGGUGUGAACGGAUAUAUUGGGGCACACAGCAAAAAGUUCAACUCACAGCUAGCAACAUUUGUCUUUUGCUUCGCUAGCCGAAGAAACUUCAAAAGGGGACACCACGACAUCCCUGCAGCUGCUCGAUCUGCUUCAUCUCCUGAUCUUCAGAAUGCAGCAAUUAUCUUCAUCCUGAUGCUCCCGCUCCUCCGCCACCGUCACCCCUUCCUCUUCCUCCUGGAGCAACAGAAACAGUUGGCAGCGCGAUUGUAAGGUGCAGAGUCGAUGAAAAUAGGAGAUGCUCUGGAAUCUGUCUGCAGGACUGACACACUGUUGCUACCCAUGCUGGCUGCUGUGUUUCCACGGAGGCGUGUAUUGUGCCGCAGGUAUGCAGUGGUACAAAGGCGAUGGAUGACAGCUUAGUCUACUCUUUUUUAUUUUAUGGAAAUAUUCUGCACCUGAAUCAUGAGGACAUCUUUUUAAAAUAUUGUUUUCAAAUGCAUAAUAUUUUCUUGAUGAUAUAAACUGACUCUUUAUGUUCUUUAUUUCCACUGAG